UACGGGGGGGGGCAAGCGUUGUUCGGAAUUACUGGGCGUAAAGGGCUCGUAGGCGGCCAACUAAGUCGGAUGUGAAAUCCCCAGGCUCAACUUGGGAACUGCAUCCGAUACUGGAUGGCUUGAAUUCGGGGAGAGGGAUGCAGAAUUCCAGGUGUAGCGGUGAAAUGCGUAGAUAUCUGGAGGAAUACCGGUGGCGAAGGCGGCAUCCUGGACCGACAUUGACGCUGAGGAGGCGAAAAGCUGAGGGGAGCAAACGGG
rnacentral:rRNA from 1 species